rnacentral:rRNA from 1 species
UGCCAGCCGCCGCGGUAAUACGGAGGGUGCGAGCGUUAAUCGGAAUUACUGGGCGUAAAGCGCGCGUAGGUGGUUAAUUAAGUUGACUGUGAAAGCCCCGGGCUUAACCUGGGAUGGUCAGUCAAAACUGGUUAACUAGAGUAUGGGAGAGGGCAGUGGAAUUUCCGGUGUAGCGGUGAAAUGCGUAGAGAUCGGAAGGAACACCAGUGGCGAAGGCGACUGCCUGGCCUGAUACUGACACUGAGGUGCGAAAGCGUGGGUAGCGAACAGGAUUAGAUA